rnacentral:rRNA from 1 species
AACGAACGCUGGCGGCAUGCCUAACACAUGCAAGUCGAACGAGAUCUUCGGGUCUAGUGGCGCACGGGUGCGUAACGCGUGGGAAUCUGCCCUUUGGUUCGGAAUAACAGUUGGCAACGACUGCUAAUACCGGAUGAUGACGAAAGUCCAAAGAUUUAUCGCCAGAGGAUGAGCCCGCGUAGGAUUAGCUAGUUGGUGUGGUAAAGGCGCGCCAAGGCGACGAUCCUUAGCUGGUCUGAGAGGAUGAUCAGCCACACUGGGACUGAGACACGGCCCAGACCCCUACGGGAGGCAGCAGUGGGGAAUAUUGGACAAUGGGCGAAAGCCUGAUCCAGCAAUGCCGCGUGAGUGAUGAAGGCCUUAGGGUUGUAAAGCUCUUUUACCCGGGAUGAUAAUGACAGUACCGGGAGAAUAAGCUCCGGCUAACUCCGUGCCAGCCGCCGCCGUAA